CCUACGGGUGGCAGCAGUGGGGAAUAUUGGGCAAUGGGCGCAAGCCUGACCCAGCAACGCCGCGUGAAGGAAGAAGGCCCUCGGGUUGUAAACUUCUUUUAACAGGGACGAAGAACGUGACGGUACCUGUUGACUAAGCCACGGCUAACUACGUGCCAGCAGCCGCGGUAAUACGUAGGUGGCAAGCGUUAUCCGGAUUUACUGGGUGUAAAGGGCGUGUAGGCGGGAGAGCAAGUCAGAUGUGAAAUUCCAGGGCUCAACCCUGGAACUGCGUUUGAAACUGUUCUUCUUGAGUGAUGGAGAGGUAGGCGGAAUUCCGGGUGUAGCGGUGAAAUGCGUAGAUAUACGGAGGAACACCAGUUGCGAAGGCGGCCUGCUGGACAGUAACUGACGCUGAGGCGCGAAAGCGUGGGGAGCAAACAGGAUUAGAUACCCUUGUAGUC
rnacentral:rRNA from 1 species